AUCACUUUCUAUACAAAAGAAAAAUUCUCAAAGAUAUGGAGAACACAAAAAUGGUCCUAUUGGUAGCGAUGAUGUUAAUAAUUGGAAACCAUCUAACUGAAUCGGUGUACGCGUCUGAUCCAAUAUCGCGUGCAUUAUGCUUUUUUAAAUGUGAUCAACUGUGUAUUAUUGAUCCACGUAAUCUUCUAAACUUUAAAAAAUGUGACCUCAAAUGUGCUAAGGAAUGUGGUAUGCCUGAUUAUGUAAAACAAGACACAAUCAACCAAAUUGACUAUUUCUGCCAAGUGGGUUGUGUUAAUUAUCGUUGUGCUCUUACUGAAAAUCAAAAUAUGGAGAAAGCUGCGGUCUGUGUGAAUUCAUGUUCAGAAUUUUGUAAUAAAAACAACUAAAACGAUAGAAUAUGUUAUAUUAUUAACAAUUUAAUGUUUAAUGAAUCAAAUCAAUUUAAUA